rnacentral:snRNA from 1 species
AGCUUUGUGCAGUGGCACUAUCUUAGCCAAUGAGGUUUAUCCAAGGCGCAAUUAUUCCUAACUGAAAACUUUUUUCAGUACCCCGCCAUGACGACUUGAAAUAUAGUCAGCAUUGGCAAUUUUUGACAGUCUCUAUGGAGA